rnacentral:rRNA from 1 species
CAGCAGCCGCGGUAAUACGUAGGUGGCAAGCGUUGUCCGGAUUUAUUGGGCGUAAAGGGAGCGCAGGCGGUUUAGUAAGUCUGAAGUUAAAGGCAUUGGCUCAACCAAUGUAUGCUUUGGAAACUGUUAGACUUGAGUGCAGAAGGGGAGAGUGGAAUUCCAUGUGUAGCGGUGAAAUGCGUAGAUAUAUGGAGGAACACCGGUGGCGAAAGCGGCUCUCUGGUCUGUCACUGACGCUGAGGCUCGAAAGCGUGGGUAGCGAACAGGAUUAGAUACCCGGGUAGUCCCUGUCUCUUAUACA